rnacentral:rRNA from 1 species
UGGAGGGCAAGUCUGGUGCCAGCAGCCGCGGUAAUUCCAGCUCCAAUAGCGUAUAUUAAAGUUGUUGCAGUUAAAAAGCUCGUAGUUGAAUUUCGGGAUCAGUAGGUUGGUCAUGCCUAUGGUAUGUACUGGCUUUACUGGUUCCUCCUUCUUGAUGAUCUGUAAUGUCAUUAAUUUGGUGUUGCAGGGAGUCAGGACUGUUACUUUGAAAAAAUUAGAGUGUUUAAAGCAGGC